rnacentral:misc_RNA from 1 species
UUCAUUAAAAUACAUCGCAGCAAAAGACACGAUCAGCUGCUGGGAUCCACUAAUUAGAACAGGGAGAUCGAGUAUCCCAUAAUACCACUCUUUUGUCAAUACGUUUAAUGCUGCAGAAUUAAUAUCACUUCAGUGCAUUUCUCAGAGGACGGGUACCGCGACUUAGUUAACCAGCUGCUGCAGCACCAGACGGACCCGAUGUACCGACAGCGCCUCCUGGAGGCGUUCAACAACCUGACACCACCCUCACUCAACAUGGCCAUCAACCGAGUUAGUAAAAUCGCCUUCAUGAACAAUUUUGGCAACUUUCUCAUCAAUGUCAGGGGUUUUCUGUGUGUUAAAUGACAAUGCAACAAAAUGCUACAGUUUUCGUUGCAUUUAUCUUCUGUGGAAAUUUCAUUGUAAAGUGCGAUUGAAGAUGGAUUCACGUUUCUUUGGUAAUGGAGGCAUUUGGACAGCUUAGAGAUGCAGGGGGAAAUAAACAACCAAGCACCCUGGUGAUGACUGGUUUACAUUGCUUGUGGCAUUCCAAUUUUUAUUUGACUGCAUGUGGUCAUCAAGUUAUACACCUUCAUACAAAAGUAUUGACCUUACCAUGUACAGUUGCCCUUUUAAUCAGAAGUUUUAUUCAAUUUUUUUUACUGCUCUUUUUUAUUUUUUGGAGGUUCCAUUUUUAUCUCUGUACAAUUGUGUUGUGAUUUUGAUAAAACCCAUGACAGGAAGUCAUUUUUUUUUUGGUAAUUUUGUUUUCAUUUUCAUUUAUUUUACACACAGAUUGAGGUAAAUGGAUCAAUUAUGGCACACACUCUAAGAGUCAUUUGUACAUGUUGAAAGCAAUUUUGCAGAUUUGUAAAUAAAAAAUUAAAACUGUAUAUAGGGUUAUUUUCAACCCAUGUAUUUUUCGCCUGCAAACAGUUUUGCCCUGUCUUGAAUUUACUUAGACACAGUUGUGUUUAAAUAGAGAUUAAUUUAGUUUGCCAAGUCUUAAAUUCACAUUGAGGACGAAAAUAAAACAGGGGCAAAUAUUUCCCUGUAUACAGUUCCUAAGUUUUCUUCACAAUUAUAUUCUUUUGUCACAAGUGGUGCAGCAGAAUGUAUUUUUGCAAUCAUUGAGUGUUCAAAUACUUCAAGGGGAAGUGCACUUCAAAUGGCAAUAAUCACCUAGCAAUGUUUCUGUUUAGACACCUGUAAAUUGAGAAUACUAUGUUAUUUAUGAUCUUAAUUACUCACUGUGUUACCUAUACCCCGGGUCUUCAAGUUCAGUUUAUAGGUCAUCUAAUCUGUUUUGUCUGGAUACGUGUUCUGAUAUUUAGGUUACAAUUAUGAUAUAUAUCAUUAUUUAUGUUUAUAUCCAAUAAUAUCUACAACACUGAAUGGAAAGACUUGUCACAGAAUAUCUUGCUUGACAGUUUACUGUGCUUUUACAAUUACUGUUAAUGAGAGCGCCUGCUCUGUAUAGUUUUGCAUGAAGAUCAAAAUAAAUAACCUAUCCUAUUG